rnacentral:rRNA from 1 species
AGUGAACGCUGGCGGUAGGCCUAACACAUGCAAGUCGAACGGCAGCACAGUAAGAGCUUGCUCUUACGGGUGGCGAGUGGCGGACGGGUGAGGAAUACAUCGGAAUCUACUUUUUCGUGGGGGAUAACGUAGGGAAACUUACGCUAAUACCGCAUACGACCUACGGGUGAAAGCAGGGGAUCUUCGGACCUUGCGCGAUUGAAUGAGCCGAUGUCGGAUUAGCUAGUUGGCGGGGUAAAGGCCCACCAAGGCGACGAUCCGUAGCUGGUCUGAGAGGAUGAUCAGCCACACUGGAACUGAGACACGGUCCAGACUCCUACGGGAGGCAGCAGUGGGGAAUAUUGGACAAUGGGCGCGAGCCUGAUCCAGCCAUACCGCGUGGGUGAAGAAGGCCUUCGGGUUGUAAAGCCCUUUUGUUGGGAAAGAAAAGCAGCAGGUUAAUACCCCGCUGUUCUGACGGUACCCAAAGAAGAAGCACCGGCUAACUUCGUG